rnacentral:rRNA from 1 species
GACAGAGGGUGCAAACGUUGUUCGGAAUUACUGGGCGUAAAGCGCGCGUAGGCGGCUUUGUAAGUCAGAGGUGAAAGCCUGGAGCUCAACUCCAGAACUGCCUUUGAACCUACAUCGCUAGAAUCAUGGAGAGGUUAGUGGAAUUCCGAGUGUAGAGGUGAAAUUCGUAGAUAUUCGGAAGAACACCAGUGGCGAAGGCGACUAACUGGACAUGUAUUGACGCUGAGGUGCGAAAGCGUGGGGAGCAAACAGG